rnacentral:rRNA from 1 species
GCCUGCGGCCACACCACUUUGAAUAAGCCUGAUCUCGACUGAUCUCAGAAGUGAAACAAUGUUGGGCUUGGUUAGUACUUGGAUGGGAGACCGCCUGGGAAUAUCAAGUGCUGUAGACAUU